rnacentral:misc_RNA from 1 species
CUUCAAAAAUACCCUGUUCCUGAAUGUGAUAUUUGGUUCAUCAAGUUUUCUUGUGAUUUCCAUUACAAUGCAGCUGCUAUAGGGAAUAGGGAAGGAAAGAUCUAUGUUUGGGAAUUGCAAAGUAGUCCCCCUGUUCUCAUUGCAAGGCUAUCUCAUAGUCAAUCCAAAUCUCCGAUUAGACAAACUGCAAUGUCAUUUGAUGGGAGCACCAUACUUAGCUGCUGUGAGGAUGGAACCAUAUGGCGUUGGGAUGCAGCAUCAUCUUCCUAGGUCUAGCCAAGUGUAUCCGACCGAUUCCUAUCAUAGCUUAUUUUUGGCAUAGUAGUUUGUGGAUAUUUUCAUGUGCUGCCCUUUUUUUUUUUUUU